GAUGAACGCUGACAGAAUGCUUAACACAUGCAAGUCUUUGGCGAAGCUGUGCUUGCACAGCCUAGCCAAGGCGGACGGGUGAGUAACGCGUAAGGAACUUGCCCUGCAGUCAGGGAUAACAGACGGAAACGACUGAUAAGACCUGGUAAAGUCAGGCGGACUCAUGUCCAGCCUGAUGAAAAGAGAUGCUGCAGGAGAGCCUUGCGUCCUAUUAGCUUGUUGGUGGGGUAACGGCCCACCAAGGCGAUGAUAGGUAGCCGGCCUGAGAGGGUGGACGGCCACAAGGGGACUGAGAUACGGCCCAUACUCCUACGGGAGGCAGCAGUGGGGAAUAUUGGACAAUGGGGGCAACCCUGAUCCAGCAAUUCUGUGUGCACGAUGAAGGUUUUCGGAUUGUAAAGUGCUUUCAGCAGGGAAGAAAAAAAUGACGGUACCGGCAGAAGAAGCGACGGCUAAAUACGU
rnacentral:rRNA from 1 species